rnacentral:rRNA from 1 species
UACGUAGGGUGCAAGCGUUAAUCGGAAUUACUGGGCGUAAAGCGUGCACAGGCGGUUUUGUAAGUCUGUCGUGAAAUCCCCGGGCUCAACCUGGGAAUGGCGAUGGAGACUGCAAGGCUAGAGUUUGGCAGAGGGGGAUGGAAUUCCGCGUGUAGCAGUGAAAUGCGUAGAUAUGCGGAGGAACACCGAUGGCGAAGGCAAUCCCCUGGGCCUGCACUGACGCUCAUGCACGAAAGCGUGGGGAGCAAACAGG